UACGUAGGGGGCAAGCGUUGUCCGGAAUCAUUGGGCGUAAAGCGCGUGUAGGCGGUUCAGUAAGUCUGCUGUGAAAGUCCAGGGCUCAACCCUGGGAUGCCGGUGGAUACUGCUGGACUAGAGUGCGGAAGAGGCGAGUGGAAUUCCCGGUGUAGCGGUGAAAUGCGCAGAUAUCAGGAGGAACACCGGUGGCGAAGGCGGUUCUCUGGGCAUGUCCUGACGCUGAGGAGCGAAAGUGUGGGGAGCGAACAGG
rnacentral:rRNA from 1 species